CUGUAAUAUUUCAAGUUUGAAUCGUAGCAGAGAGCAACCUUUAUCUACUCUUUAGAUUUCUCUAUCAAAAUGAAUGCACAUAUAGGUGUUUUUUUAGCAGCAAGGUUAUGACUCGGCAUUGUUUUUAAGAGUCGUCGUGAGGUUAUGACUUGGGCAUUGUUUCCAGGAAUCGUCAAGGUGAAAUUAUGGCAACAAGAUCACAGUUGUGGUUUCUCAGUCGGAAUGGCUGAAGCAUCUUCCAUUCUUCAUGGGUAUAAAUUGGCUUAGUAUUUACAGUUUUUUGAAUUUGUAAAUUGAGUGAUGACCUGAGGCAGAGUAUAAAUUUUAG
rnacentral:misc_RNA from 1 species